rnacentral:rRNA from 1 species
UAGGGAAUAUUGGGCAAUGGAGGGAACUCUGACCCAGCCAUGCCGCGUGCAGGAUGAAGGCGUUAUGCGUUGUAAACUGCUUUUAUAUAGGAAGAAAUAGUCCUUGCGAGGAAAGUUGACGGUACUAUAUGAAUAAGCACCGGCUAACUCCGUGCCAGCAGCCGCGGUAAUACGGAGGGUGCAAGCGUUGUCCGGAUUUAUUGGGUUUAAAGGGUGCGUAGGCGGUUUAUUAAGUCAGUGGUGAAAGACGGUCGCUCAACGAUUGCAGUGCCAUUGAUACUGGUAGACUUGAGUAUGAUUGAGGUAGCUGGAAUGGAUAGUGUAGCGGUGAAAUGCAUAGAUAUUAUCCAGAACACCAAUUGCGUAGGCAAGUUACUAAGUCAUAACUGACGCUGAGGCACGAAAGCGUGGGGAGCAAACAGGAUUAGAUACCCAUGUAGUCCCUGAGCGGGCUGGCAAGGCGCAU